rnacentral:rRNA from 1 species
UGGCGGACGGGUGAGUAAUGUCUGGGAAACUGCCUGAUGAGGGGGAUAACUACUGGAAACGGUAGCUAAUACCGCAUAACGUCGCAAGACCAAAGAGGGGGACCUUCGGGCCUCUUGCCAUCGGAUGUGCCCAGAUGGGAUUAGCUUGUUGGUGGGGUAAUGGCUCACCAAGGCGACGAUCCCUAGCUGGUCUGAGAGGAUGACCAGCCACACUGGAACUGAGACACGGUCCAGACUCCUACGGGAGGCAGCAUG